GUUGGAAACUUAGGUGUCUGAGGAGUUACUGCUCCCUGCAUUGAAGCUGAUGUCUUUGGUGGGGGUGUGAGGAAGUUGUUUCUGAAAGUGUUGGGAAAAGUGCAAACUGAAAUCAACUGCUGUUAUUGAAAUGAAAUGUCACUGUCAGGGUGAAAAAGUGUUGCCGUGGUGAUGCUGAGACCAGCAGGAAGCAAAAAAAAGGAAGACAAAAUAAACAGGAAGGAGUGUGUCCCUUAUUUUUCCUCAAUUCGUACAGUGCUUUUCCAGUUCCUUCUACUGGCUUACCGGAGAGACUUAUGAAAGCCAAGAAAACCAGCAGAAAUAUGAUUGGCAGAUCUCAGCCCCACAUCUUGAAGGGUUGUCUCAUUGCUGUGUUGAUGUUUCCUUUGCAGAAGCUCCUUAGUUUGAGCAGUUUUCGAGAAUUGGCAAUCUCAUGCAUCACCCCAAGGCACUCCAUACUACUAGAGAAUGUAAGUAUAGAGCAUAAAUAUAAGGGAAAGUUAAGUUUUUGCAUUAUUCUUUAUACCUGGAAUUGAAAUGUACUCAGAGUAGGGAUGAUGUCUCAUUAUUCUUUGAUUCCCCUGUGAUUAAAUAGUCAUCGUUAUAUAUAUUAGGUGCUCAAUAAACAUCUGUGGGUGAAUAUUGCA
rnacentral:lncRNA from 13 species